CUGUUUAAUGAUACCUGAACCUGUUUGCAGGUUUUACUCUGAAAAUGGUUUUUCGUGUAAAAGGUGAAUUCUAAACUCAGCAUCUUCUCUAAAGUGACAGCUCUCAAAUUCCUUUUUUUUUUUCCCCCCAAAAUGUACCCUUUUUUUAAUUCUUUUAUUUUGCAUGUGGAAAAAUACCAGAUAUUGUGGAAACAUUCAGUUCCAUACCAAUCCAUGAAAUACUAAGUUUACAGCUCUUUGCUGUAGUGAAUUUGAUGAUGGGUGUAUCUCAGCUAGAGAAAUUUGGAGUCAAUUUGAAGCGUAGAUGCAUGAAGUGGGGCUUUUUUACUUUGUUGUUGUUGUUGUUCCUCUUUGGUUUUGACCAAGAAGCUCUUUCCAUGCUUUACAACUGCAAUCUGAAGAGUAUACCAACAAACGAAUGGGAUUAUAGUUGUGUAUAUGCAACUAACACAGGCAUAUAACAUAGCUGAAGAAGAAAACAGAGCACGUAACUUUGUCCCUUUGCAGAUCAUUAUAAAAGAAUACACACGGAUAAUUGUUCAACUUAUCAGCUUCAUUUCACGUGAAUAGGUAUGAGAGAUGUUGAGAAUUUGAUGGAUUUCCUUACAUCAGGAGUGAGUAAACCAGAAAGCAAUCCACUGGAAUCACGAGGGCUUUUAUUUCUGAUGUGGCAAGCUGUUCCUGUGACUCCUCAUUGCCAUGAUUUCAGAAAUAAUUGGCUAGGGCUGCCAGUUUUCUCAUGUGAAAAUACAGUAGGGGGGCACUUCUUACCGAUUGGGUUUCUUAGAUGGAGUCCCAUAUCCUAAAUGCUUAAGUGAUUCUCUUUAGUACAGUUGCACUUCAGAUGUAUCUUUACUUAAGGUGUACCCACCUUGAUUUGUAUUUUUGUGCCAAGUCAACUUUUGUUCUCUGAUGGUAUCAGAAAAAAAGAAAAAGCUUGCGCCUCCUUUCUCCCCCUCCCCCCCCUUCUUUUUUAAUUUUUUUUAAGCCAAACGCUUGUGUUUCUUAUUCCAGCGUAGUAAGUUUCCUGGAAUUCCUGCUCUCUGCCUCCUUCCCGACCUCCGGUUCUGGGAGAUUCGCAACACUGAUGCGCUGGGGGGUUCUUCCAUUCCCUGAUCUUAAGCAGGUAACAGAGGUGGGCUAGCUAGCCAGCGUAACCAGCUCAGCGUUCACCAUCUCAACUUACCGAGUUCUUUUGCGUCCCUAAUAAGGAACACAAUUCAUUUGCCUGGGGCUGCUCCCCAGGGACUUGUCUUCAACUGCCGCAUCCCCCUGGACCGGGCCGUGAUGCAACGUGUGACGCUGCCUCCCGCCCGCGGGCUAAGGGUCCGGCGUGGCGCCCUCAGGGCUCCCGCUGCGCCCUUCGGUGCUGCGCCCUUCGGUGCUGCCCCGCUUCCCCUCGGAGAAGGAGGCCCGCUCCGCCGGUUCACCUCAGCCGCUUCCGACCCCGCCGCUGGAAGGGGCAUCCCGCCGCUCCCCCACCGCGGGCCGGCACCGCCCAGCCGGCGCGGCUGCCGCAGCACACCGCAGAGCCGCUACCCGGGGGAGGCCGCGGGGGGCUCCGGAGGAGGCGGGAGGGAAGGGUCCCCGCGGGGGAUGGGAGCGGUCGCGGUCCC
ensembl:lncRNA